rnacentral:rRNA from 1 species
GGUCCCGCCUGCCCUGUGACCCUGGGUUUAACGGCCGCGGUAUUUUGACCGUGCGAAGGUAGCGCAAUCACUUGUCUUUUAAAUGAAGACCUGUAUGAAUGGCACAACGAGGGCUUAACUGUCUCCUUCUCCUAGUCAAUGAAAUUGAUUUCCCCGUGCAGAAGCGGGGAUAAAAACAUAAGACGAGAAGACCCUAUGGAGCUUUAGAUAAAAGGUAGCCCACGUUUAAAACCCUAAAUUACAGGGCUAAACACAAUGCCCCCUAACCUGAAUAUCUUUGGUUGGGGCGACCGCGGGGAAAAAUCAAACCCCCAUGUGGAUUAGGAAAACCCUUCCCACAACUAAGAACUACAGCUCUAAGUAACAGAAUUUCUGACCAAAAAUGAUCCGACAUGAUAGUCGAUCAACGAACCAAGUUACCCUAGGGAUAACAGCGCAAUCCCCUCCCAGAGUCCCUAUCGACAAGGGGGUUUACGACCUCGAUGUUGGAUCAGGACAUCCUAAUGGUGCAGCCGCUAUUAAGGGUUCGUUUGUUCAACGAUUAAAGUCCUACGUGA